rnacentral:rRNA from 1 species
GACGAACGCUGGCGGCGUGCCUAAUACAUGCAAGUCGAACGCAGUGGGGACGGGUGAGUAACACGUGGGUAACCUCCCAUCAGAGGGGAUAACACUUGGAAACAGGUGCUAAACCGAUACUGAUGGAUGGACCCGCGGUGCAUUAGCUAGUUGGUGAGGUAACGGCUCACCAGUGCCACGAUGCAUAGCCGACCUGACAGGAUGAUCGGCCACGCGGGGACUGAGACACGGCCCAGGCUCCUACGGGAGGCAGCAGUAGGUAUGCUUCGGCAAGGGACGAAAGUCUGACCGGGCAACGCCGCGGGGGUGAAGAAGGUUUUCGGGACGUAAAUCUCUGUUGUGAGAGAAGCGGUAUCUAACCAGAAGGCCACGGCUAACUACGUGCCAGCAGCCACGGUAAUAC